CUUCUUUCUGCUUAGAGUCCUAUUUCAAAAAUUCCUUCAGAAGUUUUCGCAGCGAAUACAUUUGCACCUGUCAGUUCACAGGAACCUAUCACUGUCUUCCAGGAACAGAAAACAUCGGAAAAGCAGAUUUGCAAAUGACUUUGGAUUCAGCAGGAAGAUAAUUUUAUGGGGCACUUGGACUUGGAAGUAGGCGUUUUGCAGAUUAAAGCAUAUGGUGUUCGAAUCCUCCCUGUCUGUCAUCAGGAACAGAUGAUGCCAGCCCACUCAAGCCUUUAGGCUCUAUGGCACUUCGUAGAGUUUCUGCCUUUAGCUGAAUCUUACCAUUAUCGCUGAGAACCCUUAGAACUGCAACUAAAACUGCGUUGUUGUAUCAUGCCAUUCGAAGGAGAACUGAGUCCAUCUGUAUCCACUAAUUUUUAAAGUCAACAGGCCAGCAGUACCCAGUUAACCGAGAUGUCAACACUGUGGAGUUGUAGGUCAUAUUUCAUCAUCUAGAAGGAUACACUGCUGCCAGGCUUGCAGUUUUCCAUACGUGCACUCACACCUGCAUCUACCGCUUGAUUAAGAAAUACUGUGGUAUCUUCAAUAUCACUGUGUGGUUACUGAUGCGUCCUCAAAUCUACUCACAGAAGAGGAAGGAGUUAAUGACUGCAACUGGCUGCAUGAACUCUCCAGCCUCUCCCAGGACUUCCCAAAGCAGAUGAUUUUUUUACGUCUCUGUGCCUGCAUUAAAGGGAAGGGCAAUAAGAAAAUGAGAUAAGCAUGUUUUCAAAACUCAAGCCAUAUCUACUUUGUGACAGAAUAAACCAAGCACCAUAACCAGAACAAACCAGUGACCAUGCUUCAGCUGCAUCUCAGACUGCCAGCCACUGCCAGGAAGGAGUGUCUGAAGGUGUUACAGUGGGUCAUCCUUGCUCGUCUUACACUGGCAGCAUAUAUGGAUUCGGAGUUGUGUCAUCGUUUUUUCAGAUCUGUCAUUAUGAAGGUACCUGUAGCUAUGACUGUGAUGGCUGAAGGUGCUCAGCUGUUCUGGAAAUGAGCCCCAAAGCUUCUGCCCUCGGCAAGCUUUUAUUCCUUUAGCUCCGAUUGAUGGAUUCAGGGACCUGGAGCCUAAAGAUAAGUCUUUAAUGGAUCACUAAAUUGUGACUGCCGAGCAAAUUGUUGUGUAUGGGCUUUACAAAUUUUGCUACCUAGAAGACCGCACAUUUCAGGAGUUAAAUUUUACACUAGAGGGAAAACAAAGCAACACUACUUUCAUUAGUGACUUAGUGGCUGAUUCUGGUCAGAAUACUUACAUGCUGCUGUUUCUCUUUAUUGCUCCGUAUUCACUUCAGUGUUUCUUUCUG
rnacentral:lncRNA from 1 species